UGGUGAGUUAUGUGGGUGUUGUUGCCCUGGA
rnacentral:piRNA from 1 species